rnacentral:lncRNA from 1 species
GGAAGGCGGACGGACUUCCCUCCGGGAGGAUGUGGAGAUAGGUGAAAACUCUCCGACCCCGACCGAACAGCCUAGUACCCGCAAGUGGCUUUCUUCCAAUGGACGCCCCCAGAAGAUCAACACACACCUAGGGCAGGAGCGAGCACACACCAGAGGAGUGACGGUGGAAACAGGCACAUUAUCGGAAGAAUCCAUGAACAACAGAGUUUACCAAAAACAGAGGCAUUCAGGAAGCCACCUGAUGAAGAGCUGGAGAUGCAAACUUCUGAAGGAUGAUGUUCUUUUUGUUCUUCUCCUGUGACAGUGGUCUGUGGAUAUAACACCCACUUUGUUGUCCUACGAAGCUCUUACAGAUCUCAAGCAGUGGUUGAUCCUGCUGCACACACGGAUUACCAGAGAGGUACUGCUCGGGUUUCCAGAGCGGAGGAGUCGUCCUUUGAGACACAGCUAAAGAGACAGGUAAAUCUCUGGCUUUCAACUUAUUUCCCCUUUUGCGCUUCCUCUUUUUCUUUGAAUAGGGUUACAUUGCUGUCACAAAUGCUUCAUUCUGCCUCUGAUGUGUUUACCAUCUCCUUUUGCCCAAAGUAAAGCUGGUCCACAUAUUUCUAGACCAGAGUCUUAG